AUGGCGGCUGUAGCUGCUGUUCGCUGGCUGGGCCUCCGCAACAGGCUUGGCCAGCCGCUGACAGGUCGGCGGGCGGGUCUUUGUGAACAGGCACGCAGCUGCAGAUUUUAUUCUGGUGGUGCAACCCUCUCAAAGGUUGAAGGAACUGAUAUAACAGGGAUUGAAGAAGUAGUAAUUCCAAAAAAGAAAACUUGGGAUAAAGUAGCUGUUCUUCAGGCUACUUUGCAUCCACAGUAAACAGGGAUACCACAGCUAUGCCUUAUGCGUUUCAAGAUGAUCCUUACCUUAUACCAACAUCCUCUUUGGAAUCUCAUUCAUUUUUACUGGCAAAGAAAUCUGGGGAGAAUGCAGCCAAGUUUAUUGUUAAUUCAUACCCCAAAUAUUUUCAGAAGGGCAUAGCUGAACCUCAUAUACCGUGUUUAAUGCCUGAGUACUUUGAACCUCAGAUCGAAGACGUAAGUGAAGCCGCCCUGAAGGAACGAAUCAAGCUCAGAAAAGUCAAAACCUCUGUGGACAUGUUUGAUCAGCUUUUGCAAGCAGGAACCACUGUGUCUCUUGAAACAACAAAUAGUCUCUUGGAUUUAUUGUGUUACUGUGGUGACCAGGAGCCCUCAACUGAUUAUCAUUUUCAACAAACAGAGCAGUCAGAAGAAUUGGAAGAGGAAGAUAACAAGAAAUCUAGGAGGAAAGCUGAUCAUCAGUUUGGAGUUACAUGGCGAGCAAAAAACAAUGCUGAGAGACUCUUUUCUUUAAUGCCAGAGAAAAAUGCACAUUCCUAUUGCACAAUGAUCCGAGGAAUGGUGAAGCACCGAGAUUAUGAGCAGGCGUUGAACUUGUACACUGAGUUACUAAACAACAGACUCCAUGCUGAUGUGUACACAUUUAAUGCAGUGAUUGAAGCAACAGUAUUCGUGAUAAAUGAGAAAUUUGAGGCAAAAUGGAGUGAUAUACUGGAGCUGCUAAGACACAUGGUUGCACAGAACGUGAAACCAAAUCUGCAGACUGUUAAUACCAUUCUGAAAUGUCUCCGAAGAUUUCAUGUGAUUGCAAGAUUGCCAGCCUUACAGAUUUUACGUGAAAUGAAAGCCAUUGGAAUAGAACCCUCGCUUGCAACAUAUCACCAUAUUAUUCAGCUGUUUUAUCAACCUGGAAACCCUUCAAAUAGAUCAUCCUUCAUCAUUUAUGAUAUAAUGAAUGAAUUAAUGGGAAAGAGAUUUUCUCCAAAGGACCCGGAUGAUGAUAAGUUUUUUCAGUCAGCCAUGAGUGUAUGCUCAUCUCUCAGAGAUCUAGAACUUGCCUACCAAAUACAUGACCUUUUAAAUACUGGAGACAACCGGAAAUUCAUUGGACUUGAUCAUCAGCGUAAUUUCUAUUAUUCCAAGUUCUUCGAUUUGAUUUGUCUAAUGGAACAAAUUGAUGUCACCUUGAAGUGGUAUGAGGACCUGAUACCUUCAGUCUGCUUUCCCCACCCCCAAACAUUGAUACAUCUUCUCCAAGCACUGGAUGUGGCCAAUCGGCUAGAAAUGAUUCCUCAAAUUUGGAAAGAUAGUAAAGAAUAUGGUUUCACUUUCCGCAACGACCUGAGAGAAGAGAUCCUGACGCUCAUGGCAAGGGACAAACACCCACCAGAGCGUCAGGUGGCAUUUGCUGACUGUGCUGCUGAUAUCAAAUCUACAUAUGAAAGCCAACCCAUCAGACAGACUGCUCAGGAUUGGCCAGCCAUCUCUCUCAACUGUAUAGCUGUCCUCUUUUUAAGGGCUGGGAGAACUCAGGAAGCCUGGAAAAUGUUGGGACUUUUCAGGAAGCAUAAUAAGAUUCCUAGAAAUGAGUUGCUGAAUGAGUUUAUGGACCAUGCAAAAGCAUCUAACAGCCCUUCCCAGGCCAUUGAAGUAGUAGAGCUGGCAAGUGCCUUCAGCUUACCUAGUUGUGAGGGCCUCACCCAGAGAGUAAUGACUGAUUUUGCAAUCAACCAGCAACAAAAGGAAGCCCUAGGUAACCUAACUGCACUGACCAGUGACAGUGAUACUGACAGCAGCAGUGACAGCGACAGUGACACCAGUGAAGGCAAAUGAAAGUGGAGAUUCAGGAGCAGCAAUGGCCUCACCAUAGCUGCUGGAAUCACACCUGAGAACUAAGAUAUGCUAAUAUUUAACACUGUUACAAAGAAGACAAGAUAAAGAUUUGGUGAAUUUGUUACCGUGAGGCACAGUCAGUACACAGCCGACUUAUGUAGAUUUAAGCUCCUAAUUUGCUACUUAAUAACCAUCUAUUAAUGCACUGAUAAAGGUUUAGCAUUUAAGUAGCAACAUUGCGGUUUUCAGACACAUGGUGAGGUCCAUGGCUCUUGUCAUCAGGAUAAGCCUGCACACGUACAGUGUCAGUGAGCUGACCUCAUGCUGCUGUCCUCGUGCGAUUGGCAUCUCCCUGCUGCUGGACUUCUGCCUUUGUUGGCCUGAUGUGCUGCUGUGAGGCUGGUCCUUCAUCUUAGAAAGGUGUUCAUGCAGUUCUGUCACAGUUGGGGUUGGGUCAAUAGUUUCCCAAUUUCAGGAUAUUUCGAUGUCAGAAAUAAGCCUCUUAGGAAUGACUAAAAAAGAUAAUGGCAGUUUAGGCUGCACAACUGGUAAAAUGACUGUAAAUAAAUGUUGUAAUUAAUGUAAAAAAAAAAAA